AUACGGAGGGUGCAAGCGUUAUCCGGAUUUAUUGGGUUUAAAGGGUCCGUAGGCGGACUAGUAAGUCAGUGGUGAAAGCCUUCAGCUUAACUGGAGAACUGCCAUUGAUACUGCUAGUCUCGAGUUCGGUUGAAGUGGGCGGAAUAUGUGGUGUAGCGGUGAAAUGCAUAGAUAUCACAUAGAACACCUAUUGCGAAGGCAGCUCACUAAGCCGAUACUGACGCUCAGGGACGAAAGCGUGGGGAGCGAACAGGAUUAGAAACCCUAGUAGUCC
rnacentral:rRNA from 1 species